GAUGAAGAACGCAGCGAAAUGCGAUACGUAAUGUGAAUUGCAGAAUUCAGUGAAUCAUCGAAUCUUUGAACGCAUAUUGCGCUCUCUGGUAUUCCGGAGAGCAUGCUUGUUUGAGUAUCAGUAAACACCUCAACUCCCUUUUCUUUUUUGAAAUUGGAGCUGGACUUGAGUGAUCCCAACGCUUUCUUCCAAGAAAGUGGCGGGUUGCUUGAAAUGCAGGUGCAGCUGAACUUUUCUCUGAGCUAUAAGCAUAUCUAUUUAGUCUGCCUAAAAAACAGAUUAUUACCUUUGCUGCAGCUUACAUAAAGGAGACUAGUUCUUGUGCUGACUGAUGCAGGAUUCACAGAGACAGCUUCGGCUGACUUUGUAAACUCGAUCUCAAAUCAAGUAAGACUACCCGCUGAACUUAAGCAUAUCAAUAAGCGGAGGA
rnacentral:misc_RNA from 1 species